rnacentral:rRNA from 1 species
UGCAAGUCGAACGGUGAAGCAGAGCUUGCUCUGUGGAUCAGUGGCGAACGGGUGAGUAACACGUGAGCAAUCUGCCCCUGACUCUGGGAUAAGCGCUGGAAACGGCGUCUAAUACCGGAUACGAGCUGCGAAGGCAUCUUCAGCAGUUGGAAAGAAUUUCGGUCAGGGAUGAGCUCGCGGCCUAUCAGCUUGUUGGUGAGGUAAUGGCUCACCAAGGCGUCGACGGGUAGCCGGCCUGAGAGGGUGACCGGCCACACUGGGACUGAGACACGGCCCAGACUCCUACGGGAGGCAGCAGUGGGGAAUAUUGCACAAUGGGCGCAAGCCUGAUGCAGCAACGCCGCGUGAGGGAUGACGGCCUUCGGGUUGUAAACCUCUUUUAGCAAGGAAGAAGCGAAAGUGACGGUACUUGCAGAAAAAGCGCCGGCUAACUACGUGCCAGCAGCCGCGGUAAUACGUAGGGCGCAAGCGUUAUCCGGAAUUAUUGGGCGUAAAGAGCUCGUAGGCGGUUUGUCGCGUCUGCUGUGAAAACUGGAGGCUCAACCUCCAGCCUGCAGUGGGUACGGGCAGACUAGAGUGCGGUAGGGGAGAUUGGAAUUCCUGGUGUAGCGGUGGAAUGCGCAGAUAUCAGGAGGAACACCGAUGGCGAAGGCAGAUCUCUGGGCCGUAACUGACGCUGAGGAGCGAAAGGGUGGGGAGCAAACAGGCUUAGAUACCCUGGUAGUCCACCCCGUAAACGUUGGGAACUAGUUGUGGGGUCCAUUCCACGGAUUCCGUGACGCAGCUAACGCAUUAAGUUCCCCGCCUGGGGAGUACGGCCGCAAGGCUAAAACUCAAAGGAAUUGACGGGGACCCGCACAAGCGGCGGAGCAUGCGGAUUAAUUCGAUGCAACGCGAAGAACCUUACCAAGGCUUGACAUAUACGAGAACGGGCUAGAAAUAGUCAACUCUUUGGACACUCGUAAACAGGU